AUGCAGCCAUGCCGCGUGUAUGAAGAAGGCCUUACGGGUGUUAAAGACUUUCAGCAGUGAGGAAGGCGGGUACGUUAAUAGCGUGCUCGUUUGACGUUUAGCUGCAGAAGAAGCACCGGCUAACUCCGUGCCAGCAGCCGCGGUAAUACGGAGGGUGCGAGCGUUAAUCGGAAUUACUGGGCGUAAAGCGCAUGCAGGUGGUUUGUUAAGUCAGAUGUGAAAGCCCGGGGCUCAACCUCGGAAUUGCAUUUGAAACUGGCAGACUAGAGUACUGUAGAGGGGGUAGAAUUUCAGGUGUAGCGGUGAAAAUGCGUAGAGAUCUGAAGGAAUACCGGUGGCGAAGGCGGCCCCCUGGACAGAUACUGACACUCAGAUGCGAAAGCGUGGGGAGCAAACAGGAUUAGAUACCCCUGGUAG
rnacentral:rRNA from 1 species